AGGUACGCCGGGGAUAACAGGCUGAUACUGCCCAAGAGCUCAUAUCGACGGCAGUGUUUGGCACCUCGAUGUCGGCUCAUCACAUCCUGGGGGUGGAGAAGCUCCCAAGGGUUUGGCUGUUCGCCAAUGAAAGUGGUACGUGAGCUGGGUUCAGACCGUCGUGAGACAGGUCGGUCCCUAUCUGCUGUGGGCGUACGAAACUUGCGAGGAUUCUUCUUUAGUACGAGAGGAUUUGGAAGGACGUUCCUCUGGUGUACCAGUUGUCGCGCUAGCGGCACGGCUGGAUAGCUAAGAACGGAAAGGAUAAACGCUGAAAGCAUAUAAGCGUGAAGCCCGCCUCAAGAUCAGGUUUCGUAGGGUUUAUACCCGAAAGUCCCCUGAAAGACGAUCAGGUUAAUAGGCCGGAUGUGUACGUGCAGUAAUGCACUCAGCUAACCGGUACUAACGGACGAUUGCUUGACCACUCG
rnacentral:rRNA from 1 species